rnacentral:lncRNA from 1 species
UUCGGGUCGGAUUCAGAUAUUUUUAGUUCGAGUUUGGUUAUUUCGGAUCGGGUGCUCCUUGUGGAAAGGAUCUCAUACCCUUUGAGUCUUCCCUUGCUAUAUCUCAUUGGAAUUCUAGUUCUAUAUCCAGAUUUUAUGAUUUCAAGUGAAGCUUGUUCAUGGGUCUGCUCUCUCAUUUACCAUUUCUAUAUAUCACUAUGUUUAUCUCAAUCCAUUACACCUAAACCUGAUAUAAAUAUUUGGUGUUCCAAAAAUAUACAAAAGGUGAGAAUAAAACAAGGUAAAAUCUAUUUGAGUUUUUUGGUUUACAUAUGUAAUCAAAUCCAAUUACCAUGUAUCACUAUAUUUGCCUCCACGAGCUGAAAUCAAUAAAUUCAAUGAGAAACUAGAUUUUGACCCGCGUUUUCAAUUAAUUUUGAUUUUUUUUUUGUUUUUUUAUAAUUUUUAUUUGUAAUUAAUAUAAAUAUAAUAGAAUAGAUAUUUUUUGGUAACUCUAUUAAAUAUGUCAAGUUGCAUAACUAUACACUUGUGCCAUAUGCAUUUUAAAAAUUAUUUUAAAUUUUUUUUUCUAAAGUUUGCAACAUAUUAUAUUUUCUUAGUAAUUACUUAGCAUAAUUAGUCAAGAAUAUUCGUACAAAAAAAAUCUGACUCGAAAUCGACCCGAAGUCAAAAUCACAUGCUCUAUUAUACGUGGCCUAUAUACUCGUACGAUUCCUAAAUUGUUAUCUCCAGAAACCAAUAUCAGACCGAACCCGCACAUAAACCGAAAACAAUUUUUAAAAAUGUUUGAAAAAAUUAAUUAUUAAUAUCUGAUAAGUUAAUUAUAAAACCCAAGACAUGAAACCAAAGAACUAAAUAGCUAGAACUAGGGGUCGGCGUUCGGGUACCCAUUCGGGUUCGGGUCGGGGUAUUUUAGAUUUUCGGGUAUUUUGGUAUAGAGGUAUAGAACCCGUUCGGGUAUUUCUGUACUUUGGGUCGGGUUCGGGUAUUUUUAUUUCGAGUUUGGUUAUUUCUGAUCGGGUGCUCCUUGUGGAAAGGAUCUCAUACCCUUUGAGUCUUCCCUUGCUAUAUCUCAUUGGAAUUUUAGUUCUAUAUCCAGAUUUUAUGAUUUCAAGUGAAGCUUGUUCACGGGUCUGCUCUCUCAUUUACCAUUUCUAUAUAUCACUAUGUUUAUCUCAAUCCAUUACACCUAAACCUGAUAUAAAUAUUUGGUGUUCCAAAAAUAUCCAAAAGGUGAGAAUAAAACAAGGUAAAAUCUAUUUGAGUUUUUUGGUUUACAUAUGUAAUCAAAUCCAAUUACCACGUAUCACUAUAUUUGCCUCCACGAGCUGAAACCAAUAAAUUCAAUGAGAACUAGAUUUUGAUCCGUCCUUUCAAUUAAUUUUGAUUUGUUUUUUAUUUUUUUUGUAAUUUUUUUUUGUAAUUAAUAUAAAUUUAAUAGAAUAGAUAAUUUUUGGUAACUUUAUUAAAUAUGUCGAGUUGCAUAACUAUACACUUGUGCCAUAUGCAUUUCAGAAAUUAUUUUUAAACUUUUUUUUCUAAAGUUUGCAACAUAUUAUAUUUUCUUAGUAAUUACCAAGCAUA